rnacentral:ncRNA from 1 species
AAUAGAAAUAAGGGGUGCUUUAAAAAGCUGAGAUUAUACCCGUAGAACCUGGGCAGGUAAUGCUGCCAAGGAAUACAGCGUAUUUAAAGA